CUCCUCUCAGGGUCACAUCUGGAGAGUUUCCAGUACUCCACCAAUCUCGACUAAAAGAGGAAGAGUCAAGCAGAAGCGUACUCAUUCCAUUCCUAGCUUGGGCAGUGGCUAAUGAGUGGAAAGCAAUCUGCUACAAGU